ensembl:lncRNA
GCCAAAGUAACUGAGGAUAAAACACAGAAAAAAGGAGAUUUUCCUGGAGUGGCUUUUUAAAUCAGAUAGCCUUAGAAAUAUUCUGCAGUUGAACAAAAACUGAAGAAAACCAUGAAUCAAUAUAUGAACAUUACCUGAUGCUGCUGAAGUAAAGCAGAGCAAAGUUACAGAAAUUUUUUUUAGAGGUUUUAUUAGUGAACAAGGUGAGUUUUUUGCAAUUUGGCAUAAUUUGGCACAAAAAACAACUGACAACAGCGCUAAGCACAACUGUACACUGAUGUAUAAUAAGCAAGGGAAUAAUGUGGAAAACAUAUUUCAGAUGGGGAAACUUUUCUUGAAGUAUACUACGAGAGAGCUGUGCAAGAAGUAUGAUGUUUUGUUUUUUUUUGUUUGUUUUUUUUCAAUCGUGGUGGAAACAAGACAGGAAGAGGGAAUUAAUGACAGUAUUUAUCAAAUGUGAAGCAUAGUUUGGAUCUUCUUUUGCUGCUGGUUCAGUUAAUUUUGAAUUUUGAUUGGAGAGUGAUGAAACCUGGAGCUUCAGAAUCUGUGAGCUGUCUUUCAGAAAGCAAUGGAGCAAUCUCAGAGGACAAAGAGCUCAGAAAGUUGUUGAACAUUUUAGUUUCGUUUCACAGUAAAAUGAGUCAGAGCAUCAUCAGGACUUAAUAUUGUACUCUGAUUCUUUUGAGAAUAAAACACUUGAGGAAGAGCACUACGAUUGUGAUGAACAUGCUAAAGAUUAUGUUAUCAUGAAAUUUCUGUUGACUAAAGGACUGAUGAAACUUUGUGCUAUGGCCAACAAAGAGCACCAGGUUGGGGUGUCACUUUGAACGAGCUGGGUGUGGGAUAUGGGGGUAAUGCGCAAGCUUAUUUAUCUUUGGUUAAAAAGUCCCCGAAAAUGCAGACAGUCUAUGCAAAUUCUAACUAAUUUCAGCAUUCAUGGUUUCUGUCAGGCAAUAUCUUCCUUAAAGUUUUGCAAGGAAACCAAGGGCUCUCAUUGAAAUUAGCACGUAGAAAGCAACUGAAUUGAGACAAGUUUUGCUUUACACAAGCCCAGUUCUACUGAAUAAUAUACCAAGCCAAAUGUAUAGAUACUUUAUACUGUUAUCUGUAUCUACAAGAAUUCUUCUAAGUCCUGAUUUGUAUAUUGAUAACUGACUGUGAUUAUGCAGAGGAUGUUUUGAAGCAGUUUGUGAAAGAUUUUGCUUUGAUUUAUGGUCUUGACUUUGUUGGUUAUAAUAUACAUUCUUUAAUACACCUAGCUCAAGAUGUACGGAAGUUUGGCCCUUUAGACAGCAUUUCCUGCUUCCCAUUAGAAACCUUCCUUGGUGGAAUUUAUUUGGAUUCUGGAAGCAGAUUGGGAAAGGGAAGCGGAAAAGGAGGCCAGUGAUCCCGUCGAGCUCUGAUGAGGAUUGGGACAACACUGCGGAACAGCCAGAGACCUCACCACCAUCAGCAAUGGAGAAUAGACAUUCAAGUGAAACUCACUUCCUGAACAUCACUCAUCCAUUUGUUCAGCCGCUACAACCCUCAACUCCUUCACCUGUGGUUUCACAAACAGUUCCAAGACAACUUCUACAAGCCACCAAUACGAGCAUGUUUGUACAUGUUCUAACCCUCCUGGAAGACAUUAAGGACACUCAGAGGAUCCACAGUCGAAUGCUACAGUCUCUCCUUACACAACGUGAUGGACCAGUUGCUGCAGUAUUACCCGAGGGUGCUGUAUUUCCCAUCCGGACAGUAGCAGAUGUGGCAGCACUGGAGCAAAAACUGGCAGACCCUGUCUUCCUAAAAGAAGUGGUUGCUGUUGUGGCAGAGAUCAGAGGGAGCACUGUUGAUGAAGCCACAAGAAGAAUGAUGGCCUACAUUAUGGACAAUGCUCUUUUUAGGCAAUAUAACUUCGUUGGGUGCCAUGGAAAGCGGGAAUUUCGAGGGCUUAAAGUUUUUGAAGUGCUAUAUGGACCAAUGGAUUGGUGAAUGAGUGAGAAGCUGUGGUUUGCUGCAUUUGUUUUUCCUUUAAACUGUAUAACAUUUAUUUGUUAUUGUUUUGUGUAUACUGUGGACAUUUUUGUCAACAUGUUCUCCAAACAAAAAAUGUAUUAUAUAAAAAAGCAUACUGUUUUAAAAUUUCAUAGUAAUCAGUAUUAAUAAAAAAGAUAAACUGGCUUUGUUGUACAGGGGAUUUAAAUUAUAGCUUACUUACAUUAUCCAAGAUUCCAUCUGGGCAAACACACUUGGGGCCACCAUGGAAACUGAGGACAAAAAUAGCUGGGUCUCAGGUUGGUAACCCAAGUGGGCCCCAAGUAUCAGACCUGCUUCUAUCCAUCUGGGCCCCAUACUCAUUUAUUGUCUGGGGCUGAUUUGGGACCCAUCAUUAACCCAUCUGGGAAAACACAUUUGGGGCCAUCAUGGAAACUGAGGACAAAAGUAGCUGGGUGCCAGGUGGGUAACCCAAGUGGGCCCCAACCAUCAGACCCGCUUCUACCCAUCUGGGCCCCAUACUCAUUUGUUGGCUGGGCCUGAUUUGGGGCCCAUCCGGGUCCCAUCAAUAAUCCAUCUGGGCAAACACAUUUGGGGCCACCAUGGAAACUGAGGACAAAAUUAGCUGGGUCCUAGGUGGGUAACCCAAGUGGGCCCCAAAUAUCAGAUCUGCUUCUACCCAUCUGGGCCCCACAUAUUUUUUUUGACUGGGCCUGAUUUGGGGCUUAUCUGGGACCCAGCAUAAACCCAUCUAGGAAAACACAUUUGGGGCCACCAUGGAAACUGAGGACAAAAUUAGCUGGACCCCAGUUGGGUUUCCCAAGUGGGCCCCAAAUAUUAGCCCUGCUGCUC